CGAAGGCAGCCUGCCGGGGUGUUACUGACGCUCAUGCUCGAAGGUGCGGGUAUCGAACAGGAUUAGAUACCCUGGUAGUCCGCACGGUAAACGAUGGACGCCCGCUGUUGGGCCCUAGGGUUCAGCGGCCAAGCGAAAGCGUUAAGCGCCCCACCUGGGGAGUACGCCGGCAACGGUGAAACUCAAAGGAAUUGACGGGGGCCCGCACAAGCGGAGGAACAUGUGGUUUAAUUCGAUGAUACGCGAGGAACCUUACCCGGGCUUGAACUGCAGCGGAAGGAUACAGAGAUGUUGACGUCCUUCGGGGCUGCUGUGGAGGUGCUGCAUGGUUGUCGUCAGCUCGUGCCGUGAGGUGUCGGCUUAAGUGCCAUAACGAGCGCAACCCUUUUCGAGAGUUACCAUCAGGUUAAGCUGGGGACUCUCUCGACACUGCCACCGUAAGGUGUGAGGAAGGUGGGGAUGACGUCAAAUCAGCACGGCCCUUACGUCCAGGGCGACACACGUGCUACAAUGGCCGGUACAGAGGGCAGCCAAGCGCGAGGGGGAGCGAAUCUCGAAAGCCGGUCUCAGUUCGGAUCGGAGUCUGCAACUCGCUCCGUGA
rnacentral:rRNA from 1 species